UUGAGUUGCCGGGGGAGCCUUUUCGGCUGAGAGUGCGUGCGGCGCAGACCCCUUGAACCUGAUCCGGGUAAUACCGGCGAAGGGAGGCUGAGGUUGCGCCGU
rnacentral:ncRNA from 1 species